rnacentral:rRNA from 1 species
AUGGCUUCUCCCUUGUUCUUGUGCAUCCUCCUGGUCGUAUUUGGCAGCUACGUUUCCAUUUCUGCCGCAGGCGACGGUAAGCAAAGCUUCGUUGUGGUGUCAACCAGAUCAUUUCAGACACAAGAUGUCUGCUCCACAUCGACAGGAAUGCCGCGGCCAAACGGCGGUGCCGUGCCGGUAGUGCACAGGCACGGACCCUGCGCCAAGUCGCAGUCCACCGACAAGCCAUCUUUCGCCGAGGCGCUUCACCGAAGCCGCGUCCGCACAGACUACAUCAUGAGCAGAGCGCUGACCAUGCAGGAGCAGGAGCAGGAGCAGGACGAGGACAGGGUGAGCAUCCCGGCGCACCUGGGAACCUCCGUGGACUCGCAGGAGUACGUGGUCACGUUGGGCCUGGGCACGCCGGCCGUGGAGCAGGUCGUCCUCCUAGACACCGGCAGCGACCUGUCGUGGGUGCAGUGCGCGCCAUGCAACUCCACCGGGUGCUACCGGCAGAAGGAUCCCUUGUUUGACCCGCGCAAGUCGUCCACGUACGUUCCCAUCCCCUGCGGCUCCGACGUGUGCAACAGACUCCAGUCCGACCACUUCGACGAUGGCUGCACCAACGACGGCACCCAAUGCGGGUUUCGAGUCGAGUACGGAGACGGAUCAAAGACGAAAGGCGUGUACAGCAACGAGGCGCUGACGCUGGCGCCCGGCGUCGUCAUCAAUGACUUCCAUUUCGGCUGCGGAUACAAGCAGGGUGGCCCGAACGACAACUACGAUGGCCUGCUCGGCCUCGGCGGCGCGCCCGAGUCGCUCCCGGUUCAGACCUCCGCGGUCUACAGCGGCGCCUUCUCGUACUGCCUCCCGCCUGUGAGCAGCGGCACCGGGUUCCUCGCCCUCGGCGCGCCCACCAACACCUCGGCCUUCUCAUUCACACCCAUAACCCCCUUGAUGAACUACGAUACCUUCUACACGGUGAAGCUCACCGGUAUCAGCGUCGGCGGGAAGCAGCUCCGCAUCCCACGGAAGGUGUUCGAGGGGGGCAUGAUCGUAGACUGCGGCAAUAUCAUUACACAUCUGCCAUCCACGCCCUACGCCAAACUGGAGUCUGCGUUCCGGGCAGCCAUGGCAGCUUACCCGCUCCUCCCAAGCGACGAGGGCGACAUAUGCUACAACUUCACCGGAUACACCAACGUCACCGUGCCCAAGGUCGCUCUCACCUUCAGCGGUGGCGUCACCGUCGACCUCGAUGUCCCCAACGGGGUUCUGCUGGAUGGCUGUCUAGCCUUCACCGAGUCCGGCCCAGAUGAUUCUGUCGGGAUCAUCGGCAAUGUCCAAAUGAGGACGUUGGAGAUGCUGUACGACGUAAGUGGUGGUAGACUCGGAUUCCGGCCAGUUGCCUGCUGA